UAUUACUGUCUCAUUUAUAUCAGUAUCUUUACGUUAGUACGUAAUUGUAUUGUUAGCUUUUAGGAUAUCAGUAACUAUAGUCAUUUGUUUAACACUGGAUGUCACUGUGCUGAACUGACUCAAUUUCUGUGAAUGGCUGUACAAAUAUUCAUGUGAACAUACUGUAUACCUGAAGCCUUAUCUUACUCCUGUCUAGAUAAUUACGUUGUUACCUCACUCCAUAUCAACAAGCAUAAUCUUAUUGUGCCUUACUGGUUAAUUAAUGAUAAUUUCUCCCUUUUUCUACACAAGAUUUCAACUGAGGCAGAGGGUUACCAUGCGGUCUUGGCAUCUGACAGCCUCAAAUAUGUUGAAAAGAUUUCAACUGAGGCAGAGGGUUACCAUGCGGUCUUGGCAUCUGACAGCCUCAAAGAUGUUGAAAAGAGGAUCAUCAUGGUACCGUGAUAAUCUGACAGCUUUAAAGAUGUUGAAAAGGUGACUUAAUCUCUAUUUAAUUUUGAUAU